UUCUUGAUUUCUUCGCGAAGA
ensembl:piRNA 21ur-12030 ncRNA